GCGAGCGUUAAUCGGAAUUACUGGGCGUAAAGCGCAUGCAGGCGGCCUGUUAAGUCAGAUGUGAAAGACCCGGGGCGUUAACCUCGGAAAUUGCAUUUGAAACUAGGCAGGCUAGAGUCUUGUAGAGGGGGGUAGGAAGUUUCAGGUGUAGCGGUGAAAUAGCGUGGAGAUCUGAAGGAAUACCAGUGGCGAAGGCGGCCCCCUCGGACAAAGACUGACGCUCAGAUGCGAAAGCGUGGGGAGCAAACAGGAUUAGAUACCCUGGUAG
rnacentral:rRNA from 1 species